AUUGAACGCUGGCGGAAUGCUUUACACAUGCAAGUCGAACGGCAGCACGGACUUCGGUCUGGUGGCGAGUGGCGAACGGGUGAGUAAUAUAUCGGAACGUGCCCAGUCGUGGGGGAUAACGGAGCGAAAGCUUUGCUAAUACCGCAUACGAUCUACGGAUGAAAGCAGGGGACCGCAAGGCCUUGCGCGGACGGAGCGGCCGACGGCAGAUUAGGUAGUUGGUGGGAUAAAAAGCUUACCAAGCCGACGAUCUGUAGCUGGUCUGAGAGGACGACCAGCCACACUGGGACUGAGACACGGCCCAGACUCCUACGGGAGGCAGCAGUGGGGAAUUUUGGACAAUGGGGGCAACCCUGAUCCAGCCAUGCCGCGUGAGUGAAGAAGGCCUUCGGGUUGUAAAGCGUCUUUCAGGUGGAAGAAAUCGCAUCUUUUAAUACAGGGUGUGGAUGACGGUACCGAUCAGAAGAAGCACCGGCUAACUACGUGCCAGC
rnacentral:rRNA from 1 species